ACUUGCUUAGUAGUAAUGACGACCACCAUUAUUAUUACCGACAUUACAGAUGUUGGGGCAGGCUGCUGAGUUAAAUAAUUUCAAAAAAGGCCUGUAUCCCACAAGAUACAGGCCUUUUUUUA
rfam:Vibrio aerogenes CECT 7868 genome assembly, contig: 0007